CCGCAUUCUUAACCCUCCUGGCAGCUUCGUUGUUAGUUUCCAGGAUAAGAAUGAAUGCCAGAGAAAACUGUUGAUUUAUCCAAAAUGUUGAGCCCCUUCUCCUAUGGCUCCUCAUUAUUUCACGUCUUCAACAUUA